rnacentral:rRNA from 1 species
GUGAACGCUGGCGGUAGGCCUAACACAUGCAAGUCGGACGGCAGCACAGUAAGAGCUUGCUCUUACGGGUGGCGAGUGGCGGACGGGUGAGGAAUACAUCGGAAUCUACUUUUUCGUGGGGGAUAACGUAGGGAAACUUACGCUAAUACCGCAUACGACCUACGGGUGAAAGCAGGGGAUCUUCGGACCUUGCGCGAUUGAAUGAGCCGAUGUCGGAUUAGCUAGUUGGCGGGGUAAAGGCCCACCAAGGCGACGAUCCGUAGCUGGUCUGAGAGGAUGAUCAGCCACACUGGAACUGAGACACGGUCCAGACUCCUACGGGAGGCAGCAGUGGGGAAUAUUGGACAAUGGGCGCAAGCCUGAUCCAGCCAUACCGCGUGGGUGAAGAAGGCCUUCGGGUUGUAAAGCCCUUUUGUUGGGAAAGAAAAGCAGCAGGUUAAUACCCCGCUGUUCUGACGGUACCCAAAGAAUAAGCACCGGCUAACUUCGUG